GGCUUGUUGAUAAUAAUUUCAGGUCUAGCCUGCCCAAUGAGUAGUUAAAUGGCCGCGGUAUAUUGACCGUGCAAAGGUAGCAUAAUCAUUAGUUUUUUAAUUGAAAGCUUGUAUGAAAGGUUUGAUGAAAAAAUUGCUGUCUCAUAAGAAAUUUAUUAGAAUUUUAUUUUUAAGUUAAAAAGCUUAAAUUUAUAUGGAAGACGAGAAGACCCUAUAGAGUUUUAUAUUUAUUUAGUAUUUACAAUUAUAGGAUGAUAAUUUUGUUUUUAUUGAUAAGUAUUUUAUUGGGGUGAUAAAAAAAUUGGAUAAACUUUUUUUUGGUAAGUACAUUUAUUUAUGAUUUUUUGAUCCUAAAGUUUAGAUUAUAAGAUUAAAUUACCUUAGGGAUAACAGCGUAAUUUUUUUUAGAGUUCUUAUCGAAAGAAAAGAUUGCGACCUCGAUGUUGGAUUAAAAUAAAUUAUUGGUGUAGAAGCUUUAUAAUUAGGUCUGUUCGACCUUUAAAUUUUUACAUGAUCUGAGUUUAGACCGGGG
rnacentral:rRNA from 1 species